rnacentral:rRNA from 1 species
GAGGAAUAAGCAUCGGCUAACUCCGUGCCAGCAGCCGCGGUAAUACGGGGGAUGCAAGCGUUAUCCGGAAUUAUUGGGCGUAAAGCGCCUGAAGGUUGUUUAGCUAAGUCUUUUGUUAAAUACUAGGUCUUAACCCUAGAAAUGCAUUAGAAACUACUAGACUAGAGUAUGGUAGAGGUAGAGGGAAUUUCUAGUGUAGCGGUCAAAUGCGUAGAUAUUAGAAAGAACACCGGUGGCGAAGGCGCUCUACUGGGCCAUUACUGACACUAAUGGGCGAAAGCUAGGGGAGCAAAAGGGAUUUGGUACCCCUGUAGUCCUAGCCGUAAACGAUGGAUACUCGAUCUUGCAUAAAUAAUUUGCAGGACCCAAGCUAACGCGUUAAGUAUCCCGCCUGGAGAGUACGCUCGCAAGGGUGAAAUUCAAAGGAAUUGACGGGGGCCCGCACAAGCGGUGGAGCAUGCGGUUUAAUUCGAUGCAACGCGAAGAACCUUACCAGGGAUUGACAUAAAGAGUAUCCUUUUUGAAAAAAUCGUGUUUCUUUACAGGUGGUGCAUGGCUGUCGUCAGCUCGUGUCGUGAGAUGUUGGGUUAAUUCCCGCAACGAGCGUAACCCUUAUUUUGAGUUAGCUUUUCUAAGAAUACUGCCGGUAACAAACCGGAGGAAGGUGAGGAUGACGUCAAGUCAGCAUGCCCCUAAUGUCCUGGGCUACACGCGUGCUACAAUGGGUAAGACAAUAAGUUGAAUCUCGUAAGAGUAGAUAAUCUAGAAACUUAUCCAAAGUCCGGAUUGUAGGCUGCAACUCGCCUGCAUGAAG